GGGAGGAGCGAGGGCAGCCGUGGGCCUCGAAGGGCUCCCACGGCCCGGGUCCCGGUCCACGGGCGGGCAGGCAGCGGGACCACGGAGGGAGGACCGUGUCCAGGCUCGGCGGCGGCUCGGUGCUUCCGGCGGCCUCUCUCCACCCACUCGGCUCCUUUUUAAUAUCCACUUGGAGAAGCUUCCCUGAGCCUCUUGGAAGCCAGCUCGGCGUCAGAUUCCUGGCCACGUCCACCGCCUCUCACUCCCCAGCUCCCGACGCCACGGCUUCCUCUGGUCCAGGCGUCUGAGCAGCGGGGUCCGGGCCGGCCUCGCCUGCCCUCAGCGGCUGCCCGGCGGCCGCACCCCGGCCCAGCUCGGCCGGAAGGAAGGAGGGGCGGCCGCACCCCAGGCGGCCGUUCAGGAGCACCUGCCCGAGGAGCCCACGCAGCAGCUGCCGUCGCCGGUGCCCGGUGUCCGCGGUGGCAGAGGCAGCGCCCCGCCCAGCGCCCGGGAGAGCGGGACAGACUUCCUGGAAGAUUCCUACCACACGCAUGAGUCAAGCUGGAGGACACCCCAAAGACAGCUGCACGGACACAGAAGGUGGGACCAUGUCUCAGCCAAGGGGAGCCGGGCUCAGGCGCUGUGGUGAGCUGCAUGACGGCCCUGGCGAUGUCACAUCCCUGGAACCCGGAGCUCAUGUGGAGAAAGAGUGGCUGCAGAUGGACUUAGCGAAGGACCCUGAGAGGGGACGCGACCUGGAUUGAUGGGUUAGGCGACCCCUGUGAAAGGGCCAUUCAAUCGCUGCCUUAGAGCCUGCGGAGGGAGGGCGGCCUCCAGCGCCGUGAGACGACGCGACGCCCCCAGCGUGUGGACGUGCUAGCGCAGCCACAGGACAGCCACGCGCACGGGAGCCACGGACUGAAGAGCCGGCGUCCCCCGUGUGACGUUUCCUGCUGAGGACCGUUCCUUCUAGAACUCAACGGCCAACCAGUUCAAACUGCAGAGCCCUAUAAAGAAACCCCUUUGGUGACAAAGGGUCUCUCUGGCACCGAUUCCGGAGGCGGCAGCGGCAGCCCCGGCCGGUGGUGGGCGGGACGAGGGCCGCCACAGCCGGUUCACCCUUCCUGGCCGCCUCCUGUCGGCGCCGCCGAGCUCACGCCAGCUCAUUGCUGCGGUCGGGGCAGCUGCUGAGCGCGGCUUCGGCCCGGCCCUCGGUCUCCCCCGGCAGGGCUUGGCUCGAGGUCCUCCCCCCGCCGUGCCUAACCGUCCAAGCAUCCUGGCCACGCGGGGGAUCAUUUGAAACCAAAAACCUGGCAGCACCGAUGGGCUUGGAUGAGACCUGAGUCAGUCAGGAGCCAGUGCAGAGGCCGGCGGGGAGGUGGGGUGAGGCCAGGCCGGGAGGGGGGCCAGGCCCCGGCUGCUCACUGAGUCAGGACAGCCCCCAUCCCCGAAGUGGGUUCCCACGUGGCUGCAGCCCCCAGAGCACUGGUGGGCUCUGGAUUCUGCAGAGCUUUCUCCCUGUCUGAGGGGCGCCAGGCACAGCAGGCACCGUAAACGGCCGAGUGGUCCCAGCGGGGGGCCGGCCUCCCUUCCUACAGCUCUUCCCACGCCGAACCCACAAACUGGCAAACCCAUGAACCCACGACACAUGCUGCCCCAGGGAGGCAGGGUCCCUGUCCCCGAGGCUACAGCUCUGGGAAACUGCUUGUGCCAGCCAGCCAGCCGGGCCCCGCGCCCACACCCAGCCUGGCCACGCCCUGGGGUGGGCACACUUGCCCCCCAGCCCCUUCCAGACAGCGCUCAAGCUGGCGUCUUGUCCUGCAGCCCGCAGACCUGCACCCGGGUUCCCAUACUCCCGGCCCUUUCUUGGCGAUGCCACCAUCACCUUCGAGGGCCCGGGGCAGAGGGAGGAAGAGUGAGGGCUGACCCCUUCCAGGAAGCACAUCUGUGCCUCCCACACCCCCCGGGAGGGGACCCAAAAGUAAAAGGGUCCCCGGGUCCCUGAGCUCCCACCGCCAGGCCCGGAGGAAAGGAGCGAGCACCCGGGGGGACUGCUGUGGGCAGCAGGGGCCUCAGGAAGGGGUUGCAGGAUGGACAUGGCCUUGCGCCGGGUGCCCAUGUGGGAGAGGGCCCUGCGGAGGUGGGAGGGGGGGCUGCAGGGCACUUUCUGGGGCCUGGGCUCGGAUUUCAGGCCGUCUCUCCCGCCCCUCCCCUCACGCAGGCAUCCACCGUUCCUCCUCCAAGAGCUCCAGCUCCAGGGCCCUGCAACCUCUCACUUUAAAAGUCUCAACCACUGGGGUUGGCUUCCCUGAGUUAUAAGGAGCCCCCUCCCCCUGACCUCCUGUGGCCGCUGCUACCGGCCCUGCCAGCUCAGCAGGCAGCUGGCCGAGACCACCAGGCGGCCAGUCUGGCUGCUGCAGCCUCCAGGGCAGGACGGAUUCCGGAUUCCGGGCCUGGGGCCGGCUGCAUUCCUCUCCGGAACCUUCUCCCCGCUUUUUAUUGCCCCUCCAUCGGCUGUUCCUAAAUAAAUACAACCCAGCGACUCUCUGCCCCGGACUGCUGCGGGCUGACGUGUUAGGAUCUGGGCCGGCUGGCCUGUUGCUUGGGAGUCCUUCCAGGUCAGGGUGGGAGGGAACCAAGACAACAGAGAGAAGCUGCGAGGUCGGGUGAGCUCCACCGCGAAGGGCCUCGCGCACAGCCAUCCGUCUGGGCUGCAGCCCGGCCUGAGCCGCGAGCUGGCGCAUCUUUCCCGGAGGAGGCAGGAGGCCGUGGGAUCUCGGGGUGCAGAUUCUGGGUCUUUAUGGAGCCUGCCCGGGGCCCCUGCGUGCACACGGCCCCCGGAACACUGAAAACCCUGCCCCGGCUGCUCUUUCACUGCCCGCUGGGAGCCCGUGAGUUCCAGCGUCCGGUGCGUGCAAACUGCCGGCCAGCGCUCCCCGCGAUGAUGUCAGCGCUCUCUCCUGGGUCCAAGGCGGCCGCCACGUGUGCUGUGAGCGCUCGCCAUCUGGCCGUGCUGCUGAGGAACGAGGUUUUAAUUUGGGUCAAAUAAUUAAACGUGAGCCCACUGCCCUGCCAGACGGGCUUGCUUCUCCUCCUCCACCUGGAGACUCACGGUCUCCACAGACUUCUCCCCAGAAGGCAAACGAAAAGACAGGCCACGCUGCCGUCAUCGAGGCAACAGAAGGUUGACGUUUCCACCUAAACUCGGUGUUGCCCCCCCCCCACCCCCGCUUCUCCUGCUGGGUGCGACUCAACAGCAUUUACUGCCGCCUGCUGAGGGCCACGGAGCACCCAGCCGAUGGGGCAGGCAGUGGAACCCCAAGGCUGAGCUGCUGGGGGGCUGACAGCUUGGGCCCAGGGUACCCCGGAAGGAGAAUGCCUUCAGCGGUGAAAAAGUGGGGGGCUGUGACCCCGAGGCAGCCUACGCCUGGGAGCAGGGAGGGAGGGAGCAGGACCGAGCGGGGAUGAGCACUGGCCUCGGGUUCGAGUUCGCCCUGUGGGAAAGGACAGCCGGACUCUCUUUGAUUUUUUGAUCUCUGGGCCUUUUGUCGGCCUCGUCCCCGCAGGGGUGCCCGCGUCUGCUGCCUUUAACGCCUCAGAGCUGUGUCGCUGACCUGACCCCGCUGCAGCCCACGGGGUGGUCUUUAGGACGGAGUAUGAGUGGCUGUUGUCCAGGGCGUCCCCAAGACCCAAGUCCUCGCCUUCUUCCGCGGGCGGCGGCGGCAGGCGGCGGCCUCAGCCUCCAGCUUGACCUUGAUGCUCAGCCGGGCCCCGCGCCCUAGGCCUAGCGCUGCCCCUCUGUCCCCUGGGCCCAGCACUCGUCCAGCUCCUCGUGGUUCUUCCGAGCCAGCCCGUCACAGCGGCCCGAUGCCCAGGGGGCAGCUGCUGGUGCAGACCGCGCCUUCCUCCUGCAGA